rnacentral:rRNA from 1 species
UACAGAGGUCUCAAGCGUUGUUCGGAUUCAUUGGGCGUAAAGGGGUGCGCAGGCGGCGAGGCAAGUCGGACGUGAAAUCCCGGGGCUUAACCCCGGAACUGCGUUCGAUACUGCCUUGCUUGAGGACUGGAGAGGAGACUGGAAUUCCUGGUGUAGCAGUGAAAUGCGUAGAUAUCAGGAGGAACGCCAAUGGCGAAGGCAAGUCUCUGGACAGUUCUGACGCUCAUGCACGAAGGCCAGGGGAGCAAACGGG